rnacentral:pre_miRNA from 1 species
UAACGUAUAACGUUGUAUAGUACUACGUUAUAACGCAUAACGUUAUAGAAUAAUACUAUACAACGUGUAACGUUA